AGAGUUUGAUCCUGGCUCAGAUUGAACGCUAGGCGGCAGGCCUAAUCACAUGUCGAAGUCGAGCGGUACCUGAUGACGUAAGCUUGCUUCUCUUGAGAGCGGCGGACGGGUGAGUAAUGCCUAGGAAUCUGCCUGGUAGUGGGGGAUAACGCUCGGAAACGGACGCUAAUACCGCAUACGUCCUACGGGAGAAAGCAGGGGACCUUCGGGCCUUGCGCUAUCAGAUGAGCCUAGGUCGGAUUAGCUAGUUGGUGAGGUAAUGGCUCACCAAGGCGACGAUCCGUAACUGGUCUGAGAGGAUGAUCAGUCACACUGGAACUGAGACACGGUCCAGACUCCUACGGGAGGCAGCAGUGGGGAAUAUUGGACAAUGGGCGAAAGCCUGAUCCAGCCAUGCCGCGUGUGUGAAGAAGGUCUUCGGAUUGUAAAGCACUUUAAGUUGGGAGGAAGGGCAUUAACCUAAUACGUUGGUGUCUUGACGUUACCGACAGAAUAAGCACCGGCUAACUCUGUGCCAGCAGCCGCGGUAAUACAGAGGGUGCAAGCGUUAAUCGGAAUUACUGGGCGUAAAGCGCGCGUAGGUGGUUCGUUAAGUUGGAUGUGAAAUCCCCGGGCUCAACCUGGGAACUGCAUUCAAAACUGACGAGCUAGAGUAUGGUAGAGGGUGGUGGAAUUUCCUGUGUAGCGGUGAAAUGCGUAGAUAUAGGAAGGAACACCAGUGGCGAAGGCGACCACCUGGACUGAUACUGACACUGAGGUGCGAAAGCGUGGGGAGCAAACAGGAUUAGAUACCCUGGUAGUCCACGCCGUAAACGAUGUCAACUAGCCGUUGGGAGCCUUGAGCUCUUAGUGGCGCAGCUAACGCAUUAAGUUGACCGCCUGGGGAGUACGGCCGC
rnacentral:rRNA from 1 species